rnacentral:pre_miRNA from 1 species
CAGGGGGCGGGGGGUGUCCCCUCAGCCGGGAUUGCAAGAGGGUGCAGGCCAGGCCGGGGAACCCCACCAGUGUAUG